UACGUAGGGUGCGAGCGUUGUCCGGAAUUAUUGGGCGUAAAGAGCUCGUAGGCGGUUUGUUGCGUCGGCCGUGAAAACUCAGGGCUUAACUCUGAGCCUGCGGUCGAUACGGGCAGACUUGAGUUCGGUAGGGGAGACUGGAAUUCCUGGUGUAGCGGUGAAAUGCGUAGAUAUCCGAAGGAACAUCAGUGGCGAAAGCGGCUUCCUGGACCAGAACUGACGAUCAGGCACGAAAGCGUGGGGAGCAAACAGG
rnacentral:rRNA from 1 species